AGAAUUCGAGGGGGUGGGGCUAUGCCCGGACAGAGGAUCGCCUCGCUGGCCUACUCUCUCCUCCCGUACGGCGCCGGAAUCCCAGCUCCACUUACCAGGCCGCGGCUACCCCGCCGUCCCCCCCGACUCCCGCCACCCCGCUCUCUCAGGCUCUUCAGGAUCCAAGUCCGUAGGCCCUUUAAGGGGUCUAGUUGCCGUUUGCGAGGCCCUGGGACUUUGGUCCCAGACAGCGGGGAUCCGGAUGGCUUCCGUGCGGAUCCGAGAGGCCAAGGAGGGAGACUGUGGAGAUAUCCUGAGGCUGAUUCGGGUGAAGACUGCAGGCCGGAGCUAGCCGAAUUCGAAAAACUCUCGGAUCAGGUGAAGAUCAGUGAAGAAGCCCUGAGAGCAGAUGGCUUUGGAGACAAUCCUUUCUAUCACUGUUUGGUAGCAGAGAUUCUUCCAGCGCCCGGGAAGCUACUGGGUCAAGGGAUUGGUUCCAAAAUAAUCAAAAAGGUGGCUGAGGUGGCCUUGGAUAAGGGCUGCUCCCAAUUCCGCCUGGCCGUCCUGGACUGGAACCAGAGGGCCAUGGACUUGUACAAGGCC
rnacentral:lncRNA from 1 species